AUUGUCCUAAAACCUGUCAAUUAAAAUAAAAUCCUGUCCAGAAAGUAAGAACAUUGCAAAAAAGAAAAAAAAAAUGAACCACAAGCAAAACUUCAAAAUUUACAUAACCUUGGAAAUAUUUUCAACUUCCAGUGCUGACUAUAAUUGUUAGCCACUUAGAAGAGUGCCAUAGGAACUUCAUCAAUAGUUAUAUUUAUACAUACCAAUACUGAUAAGAUCAUACAAUCCCAACCAAAGAAAGAAGUUAUUUUGAGGAAAGGAGAGUUAACCUUAUAUUUUAUUUAUUAUUUUUCUCCUCUGGAGAAUAUCCUUUUAUAGGAUCUUUAUGUAAAAGCAGCAUAAUUUUCUUAAAAAUUGCAAGGCUAUCUGAAAUGAUUGAUUCUUACUAAAAAUCUAGGGCAAAAUCAAAUCAAUUAUAGGGUGUCUGUAGGUGAACUAAUAAUAAUGAAAAAUAUUAUAAUUGUAUACAUAUACAUUUUAUUUAUAUGUGGUUGAAAAUGUUCAACAGCAGGAUAAUGAGCCAUAGGCCAUAACUGAUGUUAAAUAAUCCAAAAAGUCCAUUCUGUUAGUAUUUUAUUUUCUAAACCGAUCACAAGUGAAGCAAUCAUGAGAGGAACCAUAGAGUAUAGGUAAAGCGUAUGGGCUUUGAAAUAAAACAGUUAUGAAUUCAAAUCUUUGCUCUUGUGUUACUAUUGAUAUAAUUAACUUCUCUGAACCUUGUUGUCUUCAUUUGUAAAAGAACUAUUGAGAGAGCUCAGAGGAGUCAUCUGUAGUAUAGGAGGGUAACUAGGGUUAACUAGUAGAAAUAGCACGAGUUAAUCUAAUAAAGGGAAAGAAAAAAAUGUAGAUCCACCAGAACACAGGAAGAGACAGACAAAAUGAGAAACUGGCAUAACAGUGGCGUGAUUUUCAUUCUUGUAACCACAGAGUGAGAAAUCUCAGGGUGGGGUGUGAUACCAGCCAGAGAGAAAUUAAAGGUCUUGGUCAAAAAAAACACCGUUAUGCCAUACCUCAGGUUGCCUUGACAAUAGGAUCCUUGCUUAAACACAGUAAUAUUACAAAGAAAAUCAUUCCUUGUAAUUGAGCUCAUGUUACCUUAAGAAUUAUCUAGGAGGGAGUUUGAAAGGGGAUUAGGUUACAGACAAAAGUUUAUGUCAAAACGGAGAAUGUGAUCAUGCAGGAAAGGGUUACCUUGUGCCUGAGCACUGGCAGAGCAUCUGGUCCUGACGACCUGCUGCUUCUUGGAGCUGACUUUGGUGAGAGUCAGAGGUUAAGUAAUAAAUCAGGCCAUUGCACGUCUGCACUUUGCCGCCUUGUCUAAUCACACUGCUGCUUGGAAGGAAACCCCCAAAACUAGAAUCCUGACCUGGGAAGUGGCAAGUGCUCACUCUUCUGGUACCUGGUUGUGGAGGUUUGGAUUACCCAGGCUUCCCCGGACAGCUCUUCUAGCCUUUACAACUGCCUUGGAGGAUGGGGCCUGCCUGGGGGAGAGAGCAGAACAGAUCCUGAGGGCUAACAGUGCCAACCUCAUAGGGUUGUUAACCGAGGAUUAACCAAGAAACUUAUUGUGAAAGUACACAUCUGUGCAUAACAAGUGUUGGUUUCCUUACUACCUCUUUUAGCAUUUGCCAUGGGCUACACAUUGACUUUGUCUUAAGAGUAUUAAAGUUGUUUUCAUGUUUUAUUUUAAACCCUAGCCCACUCUUCAGGGUCAUGUAAGAGAUCUGUGUUUAUAUGUUACCAAACCCAGACACGUCAACAUAUUUGCCUUACAAACUAGUUUCCAGUUCAAACUGUUUACUCAAAACUCAAGUUAUAAUUUGGGGGCCUAGGAAUUUUCAAAUAAAAGCGUGAAAAUAUGAUGGAGAUUUUUAGAGUAAAGAAAACAAAAGCACUCUAAUAAUUGACUUUCUUACUCUCUCUGCCACAGUACAGAGUAUGUCUUGCUAAUCUGUGUGUACAAAGUCUGUUGUGCCUCAAAAAUUCUGUUGUUGUCGUGGUUGUUGUAUAAAGAAGGAAUAAAGACAAAAAGAAAAGCCAAUUGAGUCACAAUAUCUACCUUGGGGAUUCAGAGGUAGGGCUCUAGAGACCUUUUACUUUUGGAAACUAUGUGAAACCACUGUGCCUGUGGAAUCUCACUGAAACAAAGUAUUUAUUCAGGGGAAACUGGCAGGAUUAAAGAAAAAUACAAAAAAAGACUAGAGCAUUGUGAUGGACUCAGUGUACCAUGAUUUCAAAAUAGAAUUGACUUUUCAUUAAGAAGUAAAAUUUUAUAUCAGACAGGGAAAGAUAAUAUGUGAUGUCACUUAUAUGUAGAAUCUAAAAAAUGAUACAAAUGAAUCUCUGUAUGUGGACCACAGACAGAGAACAAAUUUAUGGUUACCGAAGGGGAGGGGUGGCAGGGCAAAUUAGGAGUAUGAGAUUAACAGAUACCAAGUACUAUACAUAAAAAAGAAUUUGCUGUAUAGCGCAGGGAAUUAUAUUCAAUAUCCUAUAAUAAUCUAUAAUAGAAUAUAAUCUACAAAAAAACCCUGACUAUGCUGUAUACCUGAAAAUAACACAAUAUUAUAAAUCAACUGUACUUCAAUUUAGAAAAAAAUAAAACUUUAAAUCAUUCUAGGCUAUGUUUUCUCCAAAACCUAUUUCACUUGUUCACUAAACAUCAAGAAAAGGGGCAAGACUGGAUCCUGUGGACUGCACAGCUAAGGAUUUACGGGGCUAAAUGGCUACUGUUCCUAGUAAUCUCUAAUUUAUCAAAGAGAUACAGAAUCGCUGGGAAGAGAGGUUGCUUGCUAUUUUCCUGAAUUAGAACUUUUAUUAACAUGUGACAGAAACCCACAUCAAACUGUGUAAGAUGAAAGUGAGAGAGAAAACCAGCAAGGGGGUAGUUAGAGGGGAGAGAAAGUCAAAAGGAAUAUGUUGAUUUAAUUACCUGAGUAAUACAGAGUUAGCUCUCACUUGGGCUUGGUUGGGUCCAGGUUUGAGAUAAUAAUAUUAGGAUUAAGUAUACUUCCAUUUCUUUAACUAGAUUUUCUUUGUACUGGCUUAACUCUCAGGUAGGCUUUCUGUGUUGUGCCCUUUAUAAGCUCUAUGGAGACUUACUUCCUCCCAGUUCCCAACCAAGCAAGAAAAGAAAGAAGGAAGGAAGGGAAGGAGGGAAAGGGAGAGGAUGAGAGAAAAAGGAGCUUAUUUUUUCCUUAUGGGCCCAAUAAAAUUCCCCCAAUUGAGUCUUAUUGGUCUAGCCUGGGUGAUUGACCCAUGACAUCCAGGAUAUGAAAGCCUCUUUUUGAACAGUUCUGGGUCGUAUCAUAUAUCAGAUAUAAAGAGAUCAGAAGGUAUAGGAAAGGCUUUCCCGCCAUGGAGUAGUGGGUUAAUAAACUGACUGCAAUGGCUUGGGUGUCUACAGAGAUGCGGGUUUGAUCCCUGGCCCUGGGAACUUCCAUAUGCCAUGGU
ensembl:lncRNA